rnacentral:rRNA from 1 species
GACGAACGCUGGCGGCGUGCUUAACACAUGCAAGUCGAACGGAAAGGCCCUGCUUUUGUGGGGUGCUCGAGUGGCGAACGGGUGAGUAACACGUGAGUAACCUGCCCUUGACUUUGGGAUAACUUCAGGAAACUGGGGCUAAUACCGGAUAGGAGCUCCUGCUGCAUGGUGGGGGUUGGAAAGUUUCGGCGGUUGGGGAUGGACUCGCGGCUUAUCAGCUUGUUGGUGGGGUAGUGGCUUACCAAGGCUUUGACGGGUAGCCGGCCUGAGAGGGUGACCGGCCACAUGGGGACUGAGAUACGGCCCAGACUCCUACGGGAGGCAGCAGUGAGGAAUAUUGCACAAUGGGCGGAAGCCUGAUGCAGCAACGCCGCGUGCGGGAUGACGGCCUUCGGGUUGUAAACCGCUUUCGCCUGUGACGAAGCGUGAGUGACGGUAAUGGGUAAAGAAGCAACGGCUAACUACGUG